rnacentral:rRNA from 1 species
UACGUAGGGUGCGCGCGUUAAUCGGAAUUACUGGGCGUAAAGCGUGCGCAGGCGGUGAUGUAAGACCGAUGUGAAAUCCCCGGGCUUAACCUGGGAACUGCAUUGGUGACUGCAUUGCUGGAGUAUGGCAGAGGGGGGUGGAAUUCCACGUGUAGCAGUGAAAUGCGUAGAGAUGUGGAGGAACACCGAUGGCGAAGGCAGCCCCCUGGGCCAAUACUGACGCUCAUGCACGAAAGCGUGGGGAGCAAACAGG